AUCCCAGUUGGUCAACAGUUGAAUUCUCUUUUCCGUCACAAGGGGUCAGCCUUGCUACAUUUGUUGUUUUUCCGCUUUUGACUCUUAGUGCCAUCUAAUGGCGAGUGGCUAUAAGCAGCAAGUAGGUUAGGGAAGCAGCCGUGUCAUGGUCAAGCUUUCGAACACAAAACCAAUCCUCGUAUCAUCUGUGAGCCUUGGCAAUUCAUAAUCUUUUUACAGUAAAAAUGUGUCUCAGUAAAGAACAGAAGACAACGUCA